rnacentral:rRNA from 1 species
UUCAGCUUGCUGAAGUUAGUAAAGUGGCGCACGGGUGAGUAACGCGUGGGUAAUCUUCCCCCGAAUUGGGGAUAACAUUGCGAAAGCGAUGCUAAUACCGAAUGACAUCUUUCGUACCCAGGUACUUAAGAUCAAAGGUGGCCUCUACAUGUAAGCUACUGUUUGGGGAUGAGCCCGCGUACCAUUAGCUUGUUGGUAGGGUAACGGCCUACCAAGGCUGCGAUGGUUAGCUGGUCUGAGAGGAUGCAUCAGCCACACUGGAACUGACACACGGUCCAGACUCCUACGGGAGGCAGCAGUGAGGAAUUUUGCGCAAUGGGGGAAACCCUGACGCAGCAACGCCGCGUGAGUGAUGAAGGCUUUCGGGUCGUAAAGCUCUGUCAAGUGGGAAGAACCCACAUGGUGUUAAUACCGCCAUGUGCUGACGGUACCACUGAAGGAAGCACCGGCUAACUCCGUGCCAGCAGCCGCGGUAAUACNGGGGGGUGCAAGCG